AUUAAAGAGUUCUAUAACUCCCAAACCCAUGUGAACAUACCUAACGUUGCCUCGGCAGGUCGCACCUACCUUGUAGCACCCUACCCUGUAGGGCCUACCCGGGAGGUGCGGGUAAGCCUGCCGGCGGCCCACCAAACUCUGUUUGAUAUUGAAUUCUGAACCUAUAACUAAAUAAGUUAAAACUUUCAACAACGGAUCUCUUGGUUCUGGCAUCGAUGAAGAACGCAGCGAAAUGCGAUAAGUAAUGUGAAUUGCAGAAUUCAGUGAAUCAUCGAAUCUUUGAACGCAUAUUGCGCCCAUUAGUAUUCUAGUGGGCAGGACCGUUCGAGCGUCAUUUCAACCCUUAAGCCUUCGUUGCUUAGUGUUGGGAGCCUACGGCAACGUAGCUCCUCAAAGUUAGUGGCGGAGUUGGUUCACACUCUAGACGUAGUAAUUUUUUAUCUCGCCUAUUAGUUUGGACUAAUCCCCUGCCGUAAAACCCCCAAUUUAUCAAGGUUGACCUCGAAUCGGUUCAGACAAACUCGCUAAAUUGAAGCAUCUUAGUCAGCGAAGGAAAAGAAACCAACAGGG
rnacentral:rRNA from 1 species